CAAAUAAAAAUAACCGUACAACACACAAAUAAAUAAAUUCAUGAAACAUCGUCUUCACUGAGUAGAUUUAAAAUCCUUCUGUUUUUGCCUUGGUAUGAUCCAAAAGGCAACUCGUCUUCCUCCUCUUUCAUGGGAGAGAGGUGCGAUGCAGCGACUGGGGUUUACAAACUUUAUAUUAUUUUGCUAAAUUUCCCGGUCAGAAAGAGACGAUUCUCAUUCUGCGGUACUGGUUGAGAACUUGGGGGAUCCUGGUUUGGAGCAGAAUGAUGAACAUCGAUGCCCCAGUGUGCUUAUUUAGAGGCUUUCUAAUCAUGGGUUAAUUCCCACUCGGGCUGCAAAUAGGUUGCAGAUUCUGGCUCCACUGGUUCAUCCUUUUGGCAAUAUUCUUCUAUUAAUGAUAAUGAGGCCAGUGAGGCGAGUUUCUUAACUUAGAGAGUGUUCACCUGUGCAUAAUGAGAUCCGACACCCGGGCAGUGUGAGCAAGGAGGACAGACGAUUCGUUGAAUGAAGGCCUUUUGGUCUAGGCCUACUGGGCCGCAAGUGGAGUCUUGCUGCAGGCUAUUAUGAGCUUGGCGCACUUUGCACUGGAAAUGUUUGUCAUUCAUACCAGACUGGAGAGGUUUUUCGUCACUCGAGAUGACAUCGAAGAAAUUGGGUAUUCUCAUAAGGAGACAUUUCUUCAUUAUAUGGCAAACAAAACAGAGCGUCCAACACUUCAUAGAAGCGGGAAGAACACACACAAGUAUAUAAAAAGUAGUCUUGUAUAUAGAUAGAUAGAUGUCCAGGACAAGUGGAGCAUAAUGGGAGAAGGAAGUCGGAACCCAGUUUCAAGAGAACCAAAGCCUCUUCUGGAGCCCAUCCAAAGCCUCGUCCCGGAAAGCGAAGCAUCGGAGAAGCAAGGGAAAUGCAGUGCAGUUCGGAAAGAAUGUUACACCCUAAAUUUACUGAGGCAGCGAGAGAGCUCCUAAACACGGGCAGCAGAACCAUUCCCGACUGAUCGCCUGCCACAUUCGGCUGGUUUGGAUGUCCACGUAUCUCGCCUUCGCAACAGGAGGGAGAUUCCAUGGAAGGCACUUGAGGGACUCUUUUCGGAAGUCGAGAUACAUAAAUUUUUGCUCUAUUUCGGAGCUGGGCGAUGUCGCCACUUGAAGAGAGGAGGAGCGUAACCCUCCCUGUCCGUGGGUGCGGCAACAGAUUCAACUUAACCGUGUUACUUACUAUGGCCCACGGACAUUUAGGAGUGGACCCAGUUCGAAAAAACGACGGUUGAGAUCCCCAUUCCCUGCAACAAAGCUCUCGAGAUUCCACAUCGUCGGCGGGGGAAGGCGAUGGAGCUCUGUGCUAGAGGAGGCGCGGAACCAGUCGCCGCAUGUUGUUGGAUUUCACACAUUUGCUCAUUCGAUUGCUGGGUCUCCUCCAUCUCUCUAUUUCAGUACACAUCGGAGACCGAACAGUUUGCAGAUGCGAAAUGUUUUUGCAGGGCCACAAGUCCAUUGCAGGAUGAUUAGGGUUUCAGUUAGGGUUUUUUUAAAGCCUACAACAAAACCUCUUUGGAACUUUUAUUUACAAUACGGAAGUUUGUAGAAUUUCGUAAUAAUUUUAUUGUAAUGAUUUAAUGAUUUAAUAAUUGAAUAAUGAACGUAUUUGUUAGGGUGGAUGAUACAUGUCUUCUUUGUUAACAAAUUACAUUUGAAAUUACUAUGUGUAGAUUUUCGAGACAUGACAAAGUAAAAUAAUUGUAGGAUUAGGCUGGUUCUUUAACAAAAAAAAAAAAAAAAAAAAAAAA